UUUUCCGGUUGAUCCUGCCGGACCUGACUGCUAUCGGAUUGAUACUAAGCCAUGCGAGUCAUUGUAGUAAUACAAGGCAGACGGCUCAGUAACGCGUAGUCAACCUACCCUAAGGACGGGGAUAACCUCGGGAAACUGAGAAUAAUACCCGAUAGAACAUAGCUCCUGGAAUGGUUUAUGUUUAAAAUAAUUUAUUGCCCUAGGAUGGGACUGCGGCCCAUCAGUUUGUUGGUGAGGUAAUGGCCCACCAAGACUAUUACAGGUACGGGCUCUGAGAGGAGUGGCCCGGAGAUGGGUACUGAGACACGGACCCAGGCCCUAUGGGGCGCAGCAGGCGAGAAAACUUUGCAAUGUGCGAAAGCACGACAAGGUUAAUCCGAGUGGUUUCUGCUAAAGGAACCUUUUGUUAGUCCUAGAAACACUGAUGAAUAAGGGGUGGGCAAGUUCUGGUGUCAGCCGCCGCGGUAAAACCAGCACCUCAAGUGGUCAGGAUGAUUAUUGGGCCUAAAGCAUCCGUAGCCGGCCUUGUAAGUUUUCGGUUAAAUCCAUUCGCUUAACGAAUGGGCUGCCGGGAAUACUGCAAGGCUAGGGAGUGGGAGAGGUAGACGGUACUCGGUAGGAAGGGGUAAAAUCCUUUGAUCUAUUGAUGACCACCUGUGGCGAAGGCGGUCUACCAGAACACGUCCGACGGUGAGAGAUGAAAGCUGGGGGAGCAAACCGGAUUAGAUACCCGGGUAGUCCCAGCUGUAAACUAUGCAAACUCAGUGAUGCAUUGGCUUGAUGCCAAUGCAGUGCUGCAGGGAAGCCGUUAAGUUUGCCGCCUGGGAAGUACGUACGCAAGUAUGAAACUUAAAGGAAUUGGCGGGGGAGCACCACAAGGGGUGAAGCCUGCGGUUCAAUUGGAGUCAACGCCGGGAAUCACUAGU
rnacentral:rRNA from 1 species